AUCUUAAUAGUUUAAUUUUAAAAUAUAACUCUGAAGAGGUUAAGAUUUUUAAGAU
rnacentral:tRNA from 1 species